CCCUGCAGAGCUGCCUCUGCCAAUGUUUGUGGGUAUAAACAGUGAAGGGGAGGGUCUCAACCCAAACCUCAACCCUGCUACAGGCUCCGCCCCCCGGCCCACAGCAGACAGACCUACACUCAAACAUGCAGACCCCAGCACAGACGCACAGGAGUCUCGGUCCCCAGUCCAGUGGUCUCCCCUGAGCCCAUCACACUCACCGGCAGCCCAUCACAGCUACACACGUGCCAUGCCAAGAAAUGGAACCGACUCUCUGUUGGGUGUUGGUCAGGAGCACCUCUCCCCAUGUCACUACACUCUUAAACCAGCACCAGAGCCCCUGGCGCUCACACAGGCUGUGUCUGUAGAGGGCCCGGUGGAGCACUCUGAUGACCCCUGGAGGAUGACUACAGAACAGCAGGACUACUACACCCACCAGUUCCACAGCCUGCAGCCUGACCUGGGCGGUCUCAUCCUGGGUAAGAGAGCCUCCCCUCCUCUCCUCAGUUACCCGUGUGUGAGUGUGUGUGUGUGUGUGUGUGUGUGUGUGUGUGUGUGUGUGUGUGUGU
ensembl:lncRNA